CGUGGGCGAGGAGGAGAUGGAGGAGUCGGGAUUGUGGCUUAUCACCCAUUUGGCUCACGUCCCGUCUUGGAUGACUGACUGAGAAUGAGGAAAUCUCUGUAGGGGAGUGACACAUCUCUCCAGACCUGGGAAAGGCUGCAGGAGAGGCUCCACCCAACCAGUAUCCUGACAGAAAUGCCCUUUUGCUGAAACCAAGCAAAUGAAGAGUCUAACAAACGGGCUGAACGAUGUUUGUCUCUGGUUCUGCUCCUCUGGAAUUGCCACAGAUUUCAUAAUCUCCUGUUGCUUGUAGUCAUCUACACAGUCACUCGGGCACAACCGCUGAAUGAGAAAACCGCGACUUCUGGGACUGCUCUGGGAACAUAUUUGCAGUCAUUCCUCCUGAGAACUGGGUGACCCAGUCUCUGCUUGCAUGUUGUUGUUUUUUAAACCGAAACUAUGGAUUGCCGAAACAUCCUGUCAAGGGCCGCUUGCCUGCAAGAGCUGCAUCAGAUCCUCUGAAGAUGCGACCCACAGAUGCAGGCGAAACGUCAGGAGAGAAUGCUGCUAGAACACGGCCAUACAGCCCGGAAACCACACAGCACCCUAAAACAAAAAAUGCUAGCCAGGAAACGUUUGUCACAGUGGUAUUGAAGAUAAAAUUUCUGCCGUCUAAAGAGUGACCAGAAAAAAGUAUCAAAUUGCAUCCAGUGAAGACUCUAGGAAAGAAAGAAUAGACUAUGAAAAAUCCUGCCGCUGAUACAAGUCCGUUAAUAUUUGGGGAUCCUACAGUAUAUCAUUGUCUAUAUAUCAGAAAUAAGCCAGGUUGGAAGAGAAACACUAAAAGUCUCGAAAAAAGGAGGGGUCGGGGUUUACCACCCCCAAAUACUUUCUCAAUUUUUGAUAGAAAGAAUUACGCCACUCUGCUGUUCAGACAUCCCUAGAGUCAUUCGCAUGAAGACAAUACCCAUUCAGGGCUAUGCUGCCGCAUGAAAAUGAGAGUAUUUGGCAGAAACAAAGGUUUCAGACCACAACAUUUCCCUCACCGC